rnacentral:piRNA from 1 species
UGAGGAGAAGGACCACAGAGCUUAAGAA